GAUGAACGCUGGCGGCGUGCCUAACACAUGCAAGUCGAACGGAAAGAUGAGGCGCUUGUUCGUUUGACGUUCGCGGCGCGGGGGUGUGUGACAUGUGUAUAACCCACCUCUAUGACGGGGAAAAACUCGGGAAAACGGCACAUAUCACGGAUAAUCUCUUGAAGCCCAUGGUGGGUUAGUUAAGGGCGGCUUUCCUGCGACUACUCGCAGAUUCCGCGCGGGAUUAGCUAGUGGGUAGGGUAACGGCUUACCAAGGCAACGAUGCGUAGGCGAGCUGAGAGGGUGAUCGGCCACACUGGAACUGAGACACGGUCCAGACUCCUACGGGAGGCAGCAGUAGGGAAUCUUCCGCAAUGGGCGAAAGCCUGACGCAGCAACGCCGCGUGUGUGAUGAAGGCCUUCGGAUCGUGAAGCUCUGUUAUUAGGGAAGAACAAAUUUGUAAUUAAACAUGCACUUAUUGACGGUACCUGAUCAAGAAGCAACGGCUAACUACGUG
rnacentral:rRNA from 1 species